rnacentral:lncRNA from 1 species
UUACGCAUCCCAUGAUGCAACAUAUUAAUUAUGAACAUGUAUGAUAUAGAUUGUUGGAGCAUAUAAGGUCACAUUCUAAUGUCAAAAACUUCAUUUGUGCAGUAUGUGGUAAAGGAUUUGCUAGAUACACCAGUCUUCUUGUGCACAAUAAGACACAUAAUCAAGUAAAAUCACAUGAAUGUACGGAAUGUGGCAAGAGAUUGUGCGGGGCAACUUCUUUAUCCAGGCACAUGAAAAUGCAUUCGGGUCUAAAAAAUUUUGCCUGUGGAUUUUGUAAAAAACGGUUUGCAUCAGCCAGUAAUUUAGUUGUCCAUAAAAGAACGCAUACAGGCGAAAGGCCGUAUCCCUGCCUUACCUGUGGUAAAUCUUUUCCA